UCCUCCAUCAGCUGCUCUUAAUGAUAAAGCAAUGAGUUGGAUUUAACCACUUCCUGCCACCUACUGCCUUUUUGCCGAUGAUGUCUCUUCAGGGAAUAGAUCUUAAAGCAGAAUUUAUGGGCCAGCUGAGCCUGCAGAAGAGGUUUCCACGCCUGGCUUCCUGCCCCCAUGGUCCUGAUGCAGGAGAAAGCAGCAGCUCAGAUCCAGAGUUUAUCGGGUGGAGGAGGAGAGAGCUUGUGUCCUGUCCCCCUGGGGCUCUUCCCUGCCCUCUGUGUUUGCUUCAGCCGCCCCCCUGGAGCAUCUGGCACCAGCAUCGUGCACAGGCACUGCUCAGGGUCCAAGUGUGGCCUCGUGACAUAGAUCAUCAGGAUUUCAGAUGAUUUGAGAAGAAUGUCCCCUGCCCCCAACUCAGACCACCCCUAGACUAGAAUUUCACAGGAACAUCAUCCUUUCUUUGGCAAAGCAUUCUUCAUCUUAUAAAUGGCAGAUUCUCCUGAGGAUGGAAAAGCACCAAGCCUCCCUUCUAAUGUGAAUCUUCAUGGUCAAAGGUAUUUACUCAAAAAAGUGAAGCUCUUUAACAA
ensembl:lncRNA